GGAAAAGGGGGGCGGCUAACACAUGCAAGUCGAGCGGAAACGAGUUAACUGAACCUUCGGGGAACGUUAACGGCGUCGAGCGGCGGACGGGUGAGUAAUGCCUGGGAAAUUGCCCUGAUGUGGGGGAUAACCAUUGGAAACGAUGGCUAAUACCGCAUAAUAGCUUCGGCUCAAAGAGGGGGACCUUCGGGCCUCUCGCGUCAGGAUAUGCCCAGGUGGGAUUAGCUAGUUGGUGAGGUAAUGGCUCACCAAGGCGACGAUCCCUAGCUGGUCUGAGAGGAUGAUCAGCCACACUGGAACUGAGACACGGUCCAGACUCCUACGGGAGGCAGCAGUGGGGAAUAUUGCACAAUGGGCGCAAGCCUGAUGCAGCCAUGCCGCGUGUAUGAAGAAGGCCUUCGGGUUGUAAAGUACUUUCAGCAGUGAGGAAGGUGGGUAUGUUAAUAGCAUACACAUUUGACGUUAGCUGCAGAAGAAGCACCGGCUAACUCCGUGCCAGCAGCCGCGGUAAUACGGAGGGUGCGAGCGUUAAUCGGAAUUACUGGGCGUAAAGCGCAUGCAGGUGGUUUGUUAAGUCAGAUGUGAAAGCCCGGGGCUCAACCUCGGAAUUGCAUUUGAAACUGGCAAACUAGAGUACUGUAGAGGGGGGUAGAAUUUCAGGUGUAGCGGUGAAAUGCGUAGAGAUCUGAAGGAAUACCGGUGGCGAAGGCGGCCCCCUGGACAGAUACUGACACUCAGAUGCGAAAGCGUGGGGAGCAAACAGGAUUAGAUACCCUGGUAGUCCACGCCGUAAACGAUGUCUACUUGGAGGUUGUGGCCUUGAGCCGUGGCUUUCGGAGCUAACGCGUUAAGUAGACCGCCUGGGGAGUACGGUCGCAAGAUUAAAACUCAAAUGAAUUGACGGGGGGCCCGCACAAGCGGUGGAAGCAUGUGGGUUUAAUUCCAAUGCAACGCCGAAAAAACCUUACCUUACUCUUGGACAUCUACCAGAAACCAAGCGGAAGACGCAAGGUGGGCCCUCCGGGAACCGGGA
rnacentral:rRNA from 1 species